rnacentral:rRNA from 1 species
UACGUAGGGGGCAAGCGUUGUCCGGAUUUACUGGGCGUAAAGGGUUCGUAGGUGGCCACCUAAGUCAGACGUGAAAUCCCUCAGCUUAACUGGGGAACUGCGUCUGAUACUGGGUGGCUUGAGUGCAGGAGAGGAAUGCGGAAUUCCAGGUGUAGCGGUGAAAUGCGUAGAUAUCUGGAGGAACACCGGUGGCGAAGGCGGCAUUCUGGACUGUAACUGACACUGAGGAACGAAAGCCAGGGGAGCAAACGGG